rfam:Triticum aestivum genome assembly, contig: Triticum_aestivum_CS42_TGACv1_scaffold_223007_3B
UAAAUACUCCCUCCGUCCGGGAAUACUUGUCGGAGGAAUACAUAAAAUGGAUGUAUCUAGAUCUAAGAUAUGUCUAGAUACAUUCAUUUCUCUGACAAGUAUUUUCGGACGGAGGGAGUAAUAU